GCCGGGCGCGGUGGCGGGCGCCUGUAGUCCCAGCUACUCGGAGGCUGAGGCAGGAGAAUGGCUUGAACCCGGGAGGCGGAGCUUGCGGUGAGCCGAGAUUGCGCCACUGCACUCCAGCCCGGGCGACAGAGCGAGACUCUGUCUCAA
rnacentral:SRP_RNA from 1 species